rnacentral:rRNA from 1 species
UACGUAGGGGGCUAGCGUUGUCCGGAAUCAUUGGGCGUAAAGAGCGUGUAGGCGGCCCGGUAAGUCCGCUGUGAAAGUCGGGGGCUCAACCCUCGAAUGCCGGUGGAUACUGUCGGGCUAGAGUGCGGAAGAGGCGAGUGGAAUUCCUGGUGUAGCGGUGAAAUGCGCAGAUAUCAGGAGGAACACCAAUGGCGAAGGCAGCUCGCUGGAACGGUACUGACGCUGGAGGCGCGAAAGCGUGGGGAGCAAACAGG